CCUACGGGUGGCAGCAGUGAGGAAUCUUGGUCAAUGGACGGAAGUCUGAACCAGCCAUGCCGCGUGCAGGAAGACGGCUCUAUGAGUUUUACACUGCUUUUUUACAAGGGUAAACCUGAAUACGUGUAUUCAGCUGAACGUACUUUACGAUUACGGAUCGGCUACCUCCGUGCCAGCAGCCGCGGUAAUACGGAGGAUCCAAGCGUUAUCCGGCUUUAUUGGGUUUAAAGGGUGCGUAGGCGGAUUGGUAAGUUAGAGGUGAAAAGUCCGAGCUUAACUCGGGAACUGCCUCUAAUACUGUUGAUCUAGAGAGUAGAUGCGGUAGGCGGAAUGUAUGGUGUAGCGGUGAAAUGCUUAGAGAUCAUACAGAACACCGAUUGCGAAGGCAGCUUACCAAUCUAUAACUGACGUUGAGGCACGAAAGCGUGGGGAGCAAACAGGAUUAGAUACCCUGGUAGUC
rnacentral:rRNA from 1 species